rnacentral:misc_RNA from 1 species
GAUGAAGAACGCAGCGAAAUGCGAUAAGUAAUGUGAAUUGCAGAAUUCAGUGAAUCAUCGAAUCUUUGAACGCACAUUGCGCCUGCCAGUACUCUGGCGGGCAUGCCUGUUCGAGCGUCAUUACAACCCUCAGGCCCCCGGGCCUGGCGUUGGGGAUCGGCGGAAGCCCCCUGCGGGCACAACGCCGUCCCCCAAAUACAGUGGCGGUCCCGCCGCAGCUUCCAUUGCGUAGUAGCUAACACCUCGCGACUGGAGAGCGGCGCGGCCACGCCGUAAAACACCCAACUUCUGAAUGUUGACCUCGAAUCAGGUAGGAAUACCCGCUGAACUUAAGCAUAUCAAUAAGCGGAGGA